AGUGAACGCUGGCGGUAGGCCUAACACAUGCAAGUCGAACGGCAGCACAGUAAGAGCUUGCUCUUACGGGUGGCGAGUGGCGGACGGGUGAGGAAUACAUCGGAAUCUACUUUUUCGUGGGGGAUAACGUAGGGAAACUUACGCUAAUACCGCAUACGACCUACGGGUGAAAGCAGGGGAUCUUCGGACCUUGCGCGAUUGAAUGAGCCGAUGUCGGAUUAGCUAGUUGGCGGGGUAAGGGCCCACCAAGGCGACGAUCCGUCGCUGGCAUGAGAGGAUGAGCUGCCACACUGGAACUGAGACACGGUCAAGACUCCGACGGGAGACAGCAGUGGGGAAUAUUGGACAAUGGGGUCAAGCCUGAUCCAGCCAGACCGCGUGGGUGAAGAAGGCCUUCGGGUUGUAAAGACCUUUUUUUGGGAAAGAAAAGUGGUUUGUUAAUACCAGGCUGUUCUGACGGUACCCAAAGAAGAAGCGCCGGCUAACUACGUG
rnacentral:rRNA from 1 species